rnacentral:rRNA from 1 species
AUUGAACGCUGGCGGAAUGCUUUACACAUGCAAGUCGAACGGCAGCACGGGGCAACCUGGUGGCGAGUGGCGAACGGGUGAGUAAUACAUCGGAACGUGCCCAAUCGUGGGGGAUAACGUAGCGAAAGUUACGCUAAUACCGCAUACGAUCUACGGAUGAAAGCGGGGGAUCGCAAGACCUCGCGCGAAUGGAGCGGCCGAUGUCAGAUUAGGUAGUUGGUGGGGUAAAGGCUCACCAAGCCAAAGAUCUGUAGCGGGUCUGAGAGGACGACCGGCCACACGGGGACUGAGACCCGGCCCAGACGCCUACGGGAGGCAGCAGUGGGGAAUUUUGGACAAUGGGCGCCAGCCUGAUCCAGCCAUUCCGCGUGCAUGAUGAAGGCCUUCGGGUUGUAAACUGCUUUUGUACGGAACGAAACGGUUCUCUCUAAUACAGGGGGCUAAUGACGGUACCGUAAGAAUAAGCACCGGCUAACUACGUGCCAGCAGCCGCAGUAAGAC